rnacentral:rRNA from 1 species
GUCCUGAGUACAGUGGCGCACGGGUGAGUAACACGUGACUUAUCUACCCUCGAGUGGGGAAUAACUUCGGGAAACCGAGGCUAAUACCGCAUAAUACCCACGGGUCAAAGGAGCAAUUCGCUUGAGGAGGAGGUCGCGGCCGAUUAGUUAGUUGGCGGGGUAAUGGCCCCACCCAAGACAGUGAUCGGUAUCCGGCCUGAGAGGGCGCACGGACACACUGGAACUGAAACACGGUCCAGACUCCUACGGGAGGCAGCAGUGGGGAAUUUUGCGCAAUGGGGGAAACCCUGACGCAGCAACGCCGCGUGGAGGAUGAAGUCUCUUGGGACGUAAACUCCUUUCGAUCGGGACGAUUAUGACGGUACCGGAAGAAGAAGCCCCGGCCAACUUCGUG